rnacentral:rRNA from 1 species
CAGUCGCCGCGGUAAUACGGAGGGUGCAAGCGUUAUCCGGAAUUAUUGGGCGUAAAGAGCUCGUAGGCGGUUUGUCGCGUCUGCCGUGAAAGUCCGGGGCUCAACCCCGGAUCUGCGGUGGGUACGGGCAGACUAGAGUGAUGUAGGGGAGACUGGAAUUCCUGGUGUAGCGGUGAAAUGCGCAGAUAUCAGGAGGAACACCGAUGGCGAAGGCAGGUCUCUGGACAUUAACUGACGCUGAGGAGCGAAAGCAUGGGGAGCGAACAGGAUUAGAUACCCCCGUAGUCCCUGUCUCUUAUAC